CUUUAGCCCCAUAUAAAUACAUUCGCAGAUGUCUUCCCUCACUCGCCGUGCUCUCCUCCCGCUAGCGCGGGCUACCGCUUAGCCGCCACAUCGCUGGAGCAGACUGCAGCCCGCUCGCUUCCCUCUCUCUACGACGGCCGUGUGCACACGAGCGCGCCCGCGCGUGUGUCUGCGUGUGUGUGUCUGAGACACCGGGGAGAGACACAGAGACAGAGACAGAGACAGGGAGAGAGAGGUUUUGCAUUAGUCCUGAUUCUUCAUUCUUCUGUUCUUUUUUUUUUUUUGGUUGGUUUUUUUUUCACUCCUCUCUCUCCUCCUGGCUGGGGACUUGAAUGCGAGGGUCAGCGUCCACGCUGGGGGAUAAAACCUGACAGGAAGCGGGGCUGCUUUGAAUGCUGCCUGCGUUUCUCAGAGAGGAGAGGAAGAGAAACGGAGCGAAGCCAGCGGAGACCAGACGGGAUUGUGGGAAUGAAUGGGAGUCCUCACGCAGCGUGCGCUGGGAAUAGCUGUCCAUCCCGGCUCUUCAGGUGAAGGGACUGGCACUGAGGACGUGACACGGCGGGCAGACUGAACGCCACCGGCAGCUGCAUCAGGCUCCGCCCUCUCUGGCUCCGCCCCCUAGCUCCCGCGUUCCGAUUCGCUCGUCUGGAGUUUGGCAUCGGAGAAACGCAUGGGACCCCCUCUUUCAAAUAGCCAGUGUACAGGGCAGAGGUAGAAGGAGACCCUCGACUUCAGGCCGGGCUAAGGGAGCACUGAUAUUUGCACUCGGGCGGGGGGAGUGGUCCGCUCCUCGGGUCAUGGUCAGCUGACUCUCCUCACAGCGGCACAUGACCUCUGCUGCACAGCUGGGCGUGGUCAUGAGCGCCUCGCGGUCGUAGGUAAUGACGAAGUGUGAGCCUGACGCUGGAGAUGCUGAAGAGAAGAGACGUCCUUGCCAUCGUGUUGAUCGUGUUACCGUGGACCUUACUCAUCACAGUCUGGCAUCAAAGUGCAAUCGCUCCUCUGCUCGCCAUCCGGAAGGAUGACAGGGGCCCCACCAGGAGAGACGCAGGCCAGGGCUCAGACUCCAGGGAGUACUGCUCUCCCGACAAGGACAUAGUGGAGGUGGUGCGCACCGAGUACGUGUACACCCGCCCCCCGCCCUGGUCCGACGUGCUCCCCACCAUCCACGUCGUCACCCCCACCUACAGCCGGCCCGUCCAGAAGGCGGAGCUCACCAGGCUGGCCAACACCUUCCUGCACGUGCCCAACCUGCACUGGAUCCUGGUGGAGGACUCGCAGCGGCAGACGCCGCUGGUCACCCGGCUGCUCCGCGAGACGGGCCUCAACUACACCCACCUCAACGUGGAGACGCCCCGCAACUACAAGCUGAGGGGGGACGCGCGGGACCCCCGCAUCCCCCGCGGGACCAUGCAGAGGAACCUGGCCCUCCGCUGGCUCCGGGAGACCUUCAGCCUGAACGGCAGCCAGCCGGGGGUCGUCUACUUCGCCGACGACGACAACACCUACAGCCUGGAGCUGUUUGAGGAGAUGCGGCUGACCCGGAAGGUCUCCGUGUGGCCCGUGGCCUUCGUUGGGGGUCUUCGCUACGAGUCGCCCAAGGUCAACGCCGCCGGCAAGGUGUACGGCUGGAAGACGGUGUUCGACCCCCACCGGCCCUUCGCCAUCGACAUGGCGGGAUUCGCCGUCAACCUGCGGCUCGUCCUCUUCAAGCCCCAGGCCUACUUCAAGCUGCGCGGCGUCAAGGGAGGCUAUCAGGAGAGCAGCCUGCUGAGGGAACUGGUCACCCUCAACGACCUGGAGCCCAAAGCAGCCAACUGCACCAAGAUUCUCGUGUGGCACACCAGGACAGAAAAGCCUGUCCUCGUCAACGAGGGGAAGAAGGGAUUCACGGACCCCGACGUGGAGAUCUGACGCCGCCGCUAACACUGUCCUGGUCCUGGAGAGCCAUGGAGUCUGCUGGUUUAGCGACUGAUUCAAACCCAAGAAACCAGACGGCCCCAGCUCAGUGAACGUGACCUUUCACCCUGGGGUCACCUCUAAGUGUCUCCUGCUUGGCGGACGGGAACCCCAGGGCAGAGACUUAGUGGCUGGGGGGGGAGUGUAAAAGCGCAACACGUGGGCGGGACUCUGCAGUUGGCUGCAGUGCAGGAGGAAGAUGGGGGAACGUACUGGUGCAUGUCCCAGUGGUACGUAUGGGUGUACCCACUGGCCUUUUGGGGCAGCCUAAAAAAGGUGAAAACAAAAAUGUCCUAUUUUAGUGCCCUGACAGAGGGAGAGGCACAAGACUUUGCCCUGGGAUAUGGACAAACCCUAACGAAACAUUUGCAAAGGAACUUUAUAUCCCAGGACAUUUCUACCCAUGAAGAAAACAUUACAAGGUGGCCAUUUUGUGUGUGUGUGUGUGGGUGAAAAUUGAGUGGCUUGUAAUUAACAAAUAAUUUAAAAAAUGACAGGACCACCCUUGAGAUUUGUAUUUUACAUUUUAUUCUAAAAUAUUUAAUUGAAACCAUGUUUGAAACUGUACUAGGUAUGUUGCCAACAAAUCAAAUGUAUUGUCAUCAUAUGUAUUUUUUUAAUUUUCUAAGCUAUGGAUUUGGGCCGGCCCAAGUUUGCAUUAAUAUGAUUCACCUAAAACUGGGCUGCUCAAUCCUGUUCCUAGAGAUCUACAGUCCUGUAGGUUUUCACUCCAACCCUAACAAAGCACACCUCAACCAAAAGGUAGAGAUCUCAUUCAGCUGCUAAUUAGUAGAAUCAAUUGUGACAAAUUAGGGUUGAAAUGAAAACCUACAGGAUGGUAGAUAUCCAGGAACAGGAUUGGGCACACCUGACCUAAAAUGUGAACCCCAUACAUAACCUUUUUGUUUAAUAGACAGGCCCUGCAGACAAUAAGGGACAAUAUUAAAAGUUUGGGUCCAGAGUCAGGCUUUGCACUUUGGACCCACCAGUGUUGAGGUGUUACUUGCAUUUUCAGUGGACCGGUUGGAGGACCAGGAACCAAAGCCAGGCACCACGCAACCAAGCUUUGAGCAAUCAGGGGAGGAUGGAAUGACUCAUGGGCUCAUUAUGGAAUGGCAGACUCACCUGUUCUGCGCUCAAACGCUUACAAGUACAGGCUCUGAAGUUUUAGUUCCGUUUGGAGAACCGCGCUUUUGAGUUCCAACUUUUUUUCUUUUUUUUUUGACAUGCCUUUUCCUUUUUGACUUUUUUUUGGAAAACUUUGCAUGCUCUUUCAUCUGCUGUGCAUAGAUUUCUUUUUAGUGUAUUGCUUCUGUUUGGAUGCAGUGCUUUAGUUUUUCUUGUAAGGUCGUUGAUUGGCUCUUUCUGAAAUAAUCAAAUGAGAAGAGUCUUAAGUCACUUUGCCAUGAAGAACACAUUUCUGAGAGGCUGUUCUCUCAGGUAAGUUCUCCCAUUUCUCAAGAGUUUGUAGGACGUGCUUUAGUUUUUCUGUUGAUUUUACCAUCCAUGUAGUGAGCUAAAGCAUUUUCUAGGGCUACCUUAAAAGGUAGCAUAUGAGCUGCAUGGUCUAUUUAUGGUCAUUUGUGUCUGUUACUUGAAAAAAGGUCAUUUGCAACAAGGAGGGAAGCACAUUGUUUGUGGUAUGAAAAUGUUCAGCAGCUGCGCAAGCUGUUAACUAUGCAUGGUUUAAAUAAACCUCUACCACACACGCUUUCAA